CUCUCUGCCUCCUGCUGUGGGUCAGAGAGAUAUAAGCUCUCAAGUACUGCUCCAGUGUCCUGCCCACCACCAUGCCUACACCUUUGGAACUGUGAGCCCCAAGUGCAAACACAAAAUCUCAUGGAAACCCUUUGAGAGAUCUACUCUCCAGGAAGGGAGACCACGCCAAGAGAGAACAGCAUCCAGGACUGAAAACAGGCGUCCCCUGUGCCCCUAAGUGACUUCCAAUGGUAAGACAGCCAUCACUCUACUACCUAAAACACACUGCACUGGGAAGACAAGCCAACUGUUCCCACCCGACUUGCAGGCUGCAGAUUUUCCCAUCCUGUGUGCCCUUCCAGUCUUGUUCCCAGCAGGCCUCUGCUUAGCUGCUGCUGUUGCUGCUGCUGCUGCUGCUGCUCCUUCUCUUCCUCCUCCUCAACACAAAGGUCCUUUGUGCACCUCACACAUAUUGUGCACAUGGCAGCUAUGUGCUUCCUGGCUCUGUCAGAGAAGAGAACAUUUACUCUUCCAGUCUUAAGGUAAAUGCCAUCUUCUCCCAGCAGUCUCCGAGGCCCUGAAACAGGCACCUGCCAUCAGUGGCUCUCCCAGAGGCUCUUUCAGUUUUUUUUUGGUUUUUUUGUUUUUUGUUUUUCAAGUAAAAUUUAGGUAAUAAAUGUGUGAUUGC